GUGGGGAAUAUUGGACAAUGGGCGAAAGCCUGAUCCAGCCAUGCCGCGUGUGUGAAGAAGGUCUUCGGAUUGUAAAGCACUUUAAGUUGGGAGGAAGGGCAGUAAGUUAAUACCUUGCUGUUUUGACGUUACCGACAGAAUAAGCACCGGCUAACUUCGUGCCAGCAGCCGCGGUAAUACGAAGGGUGCAAGCGUUAAUCGGAAUUACUGGGCGUAAAGCGCGCGUAGGUGGGUUUGUAAGUUGGAGGUGAAAUCCCCGGGCUCAACCUGGGAACUGCCUCCAAAACUGCAUGACUAGAGUACGGUAGAGGGUAGUGGAAUUUCCUGUGUAGCGGUGAAAUGCGUAGAUAUAGGAAGGAACACCAGUGGCGAAGGCGACUACCUGGACUGAUACUGACACUGAGGUGCGAAAGCGUGCGGAGCAAACAGGAUUAGAAACCCGAGUAGUCC
rnacentral:rRNA from 1 species